CCUACGGGUGGCAGCAGUGAGGCAUCUUGGUCAAUGGACGCAAGUCUGAACCAGCCAUGCCGCGUUCAGGAAGACGGCUCCAUGAGUUGUAAACUGCUUUUGUACGAGGAGAAACGCCGAUACGCGUAUCUUUCUUAAAGUAUCGUACGAAUAAGGAUCGGCUAACUCCGUGCCAGCAGCCGCGGUAAUACGGAGGAUUCAAGCGUUAUCCGGAUUUAUUGGGUUUAAAGGGUGCGCAGGCGGAAGAUCAAGUCAGCGGUAAAAUUGAGAGGCUCAACCUCUUCGACCCGUUGAAACUGGUUUUCUUGAGUGAGUGAGAAGUAUGCGGAAUGCGUGGUGUAGCGGUGAAAUGCAUAGAUAUCACGCAGAACUCCGAUUGCGAAGGCAGCAUACCGGCGCUCAACUGACGCUCAUGCACGAAAGUGUGGGUAUCGAACAGGAUUAGAUACCCUGGUAGUC
rnacentral:rRNA from 1 species